rnacentral:rRNA from 1 species
ACGGGAGGCAGCAGUGAGGAAUAUUGGUCAAUGGACGGAAGUCUGAACCAGCCAUGCCGCGUGAAGGAAGAAUGCCCUAUGGGUUGUAAACUUCUUUUAUCUGGGAGCAAUAAGCCUCUUGCGAGGGGUGAUGAGAGUACCAGAGGAAUAAGCAUCGGCUAACUCCGUGCCAGCAGCCGCGGUAAUACGGAGGAUGCAAGCGUUAUCCGGAUUUAUUGGGUUUAAAGGGUGCGUAGGCGGACUUUUAAGUCAGUGGUGAAAUAUGUCGGCUCAACCGGCAGGCUGCCAUUGAUACUGAGAGACUAGAGUACGAACGGCGCUGGCGGAAUAUGUCAUGUAGCGGUGAAAUGCAUAGAUAUGACAUAGAACACCGAUCGCGAAGGCAGCUGGCGAGGACGUUACUGACGCUGAGGCACGAAAGCGUGGGGAUCAAACAGGAUUAGAUACCCUGGUA